rnacentral:rRNA from 1 species
AGUGAACGCUGGCGGUAGGCCUAACACAUGCAAGUCGAACGGCAGCACAGUAAGAGCUUGCUCUUACGGGUGGCGAGUGGCGGACGGGUGAGGAAUACAUCGGAAUCUACUUUUUCGUGGGGGAUAACGUAGGGAAACUUACGCUAAUACCGCAUACGACCUACGGGUGAAAGCAGGGGAUCUUCGGACCUUGCGCGAUUGAAUGAGCCGAUGUCGGAUUAGCUAGUUGGCGGGGUAAAGGCCCACCAAGGCGACGCUCCGUAGCUGGUCUGAGAGGAUGAUCAGCCACACUGGAACUGGGACACGGUCCAGACUCCUACGGGAGGCAGCAGUGGGGAAUAUUGGACAAUGGGCGCAAGCCUGAUGCAGCAAUCCCGCGUGGGUGAAGAAGGCUUUGGGGUUGUAAAGCCCUUUUGUUGGGAAAGAAAAGCAGCAGGUUAAUACCCCGAUGUUCUGACGGUACCCAAAGAAUAAGCACCGGCUAACUUCGUG